GGCCAAGAUUGGCGUUCGAAUCGGAGUUUCAAGAAAACGUGAUUUUCGGAUUUGUCAAGGAAAUUCCAGAAUUGUUUGAAUCCAUUCCGUCAAGAAAACUCGAACUCGGAAAGGCACGCGUCAACUAAGUGAGUGAUACCAUGGUUCGAGG